UAACAAUUUAUAUCUUUUAUUAUCACAGAUCAGAUUAUCAUUUUUUCACAAUUUUCAAGCACCAACAAUGAUAUAUGAUGAAACCUGUCUACAGAUAACUCUUGCAAAUCUAAUUGCUUGUCCACACUAGACAAAUUCCGAAUUUGUACAGGUUAAUUUAAAAAUCUUAAAACAGUUUUUGUAUGUCAACAUACAACAGUUCAGAUAUACUGUGGAUUCAUUAUUAUUCGUUGGAUACCAAGCUUCGUGGGUACCAGUAAACAAUCAACACUGAAUAUUAAAAGAAUGACAAAAAACUCAGGCAGGUUUCACAUACAAUGCAAAUAUCAAAAAUAAAUAAAUAUGAUAAAUCAUAAAAACGCAUCAUAAUAAACUAACCAUAUAAAUUUAAUAUAACGUAAUAAAAAAGCAUACAGACUUACUCAUGAAUAUUCUAAUAAAUAUUAUAUAGUUUUA
rnacentral:lncRNA from 1 species